rnacentral:rRNA from 1 species
UUGAAACUUCGGUAGAUUUAAUUUAUUUCUAGUGGCGGACGGGUGAGUAACGCGUGGGUAACCUGCCUUAUACUGGGGGAUAACAGCCAGAAAUGGCUGCUAAUACCGCAUAAGCGCACAGGACCGCAUGGUCCGGUGUGAAAAACUCCGGUGGUAUAAGAUGGACCCGCGUUGGAUUAGCUGGUUGGCAGGGCAGCGGCCUACCAAGGCGACGAUCCAUAGCCGGCCUGAGAGGGUGAACGGCCACAUUGGGACUGAGACACGGCCCAGACUUCUACGGGAGGCAGCAGUGGGGAAUAUUGCACAAUGGGGGAAACCCUGAUGCAGCGACGCCGCGUGAAGGAAGAAGUAUCUCGGUAUGUAAACUUCUAUCAGCAGGGAAGAUAAUGACGGUACCUGACUAAGAAGCCCCGGCUAACUACGUGCCAGCAGCCGCGGUAAUACGUAGGGGGCAAGCGUUAUCCGGAUUUACUGGGUGUAAAGGGAGCGUAGACGGCGCAGCAAGUCUGAUGUGAAAGGCAGGGGCUUAACCCCUGGACUGCAUUGGAAACUGUUGAGCUUGAGUGCCGGAGGGGUAAGCGGAAUUCCUAGUGUAGCGGUGAUAUGCGUAGAUAUUAGGAGGACACCAGUG